rnacentral:rRNA from 1 species
GACGAACGCUGGCGGCGUGCUUAACACAUGCAAGUCGAACGAAGUGGCGAACGGGUGAGUAACGCGUAAUCAACCUGCCCUUCAGAGGGGGAUAACAGUUGGAAACGACUGCUCAUACCGCAUACUGAAGGAGGGGAUUGCGUCUGAUUAGCUAGUUGGAGGGGUAAAGGCCCACCAAGCCGACGCUCUCUAGCUGGUUGGAGAGGAUGACCAGCACAGCCGGGACUGAGACACGGCCCGGACUCCUACGCGAGGCAGCAGUGGGGAAUAUUGCGCAAUGGGGGCAACCCUGACGCAGCCAUGCCGCGUGAAUGAAGAAGGCCUUCGGGUUGUAAGUUCUUUCGGUGACGAGCGUUAAUCACAGAAGAAGCACCGGCUAACUCCGUGCCAGCCGCCGCGGUAAUUC